GAUGAACGCUGGCGGCGUGCCUAAUACAUGCAAGUCGAGCGAACAGAUGAGGAGCUUGCUCCUCUGACGUUAGCGGCGGACGGGUGAGUAACACGUGGAUAACCUACCUAUAAGACUGGGAUAACUUCGGGAAACCGGAGCUAAUACCGGAUAAUAUAUUGAACCGCAGGGUUCAAUAGUGAAAGACGGUUUUGCUGUCACUUAUAGAUGGAUCCGCGCCGCAUUAGCUAGUUGGUAAGGUAACGGCUUACCAAGGCAACGAUGCGUAGCCGACCUGAGAGGGUGAUCGGCCACACUGGAACUGGGACACGGUCCAGACUCCUACGGGAGGCAGCAGUAGGGAAUCUUCCGCAAUGGGCGAAAGCCUGACGGAGCAACGCCGCGUGAGUGAUGAAGGUCUUCGGAUCGUAAAACUCUGUUAUUAGGGAAGAACAAAUGUGUAAGUAACUAUGCACGUCUUGACGGUACCUAAUCAGAAAGCCACGGCUAACUACGUG
rnacentral:rRNA from 1 species